rnacentral:sRNA from 1 species
AAAGCAGUGGUGUUUACAACUAAUUGAUCAUAUCCCGUUAUGGAUUUAUUUGUUUCCUUUCCACUCCCACUGCUUCACU